AUAAACACUUGGCGGUAGAGAUACCAUGAUCAUCAAAGUGGUUCUCUCAGGGAGAGGCUCAUCAAUUGCACUUCAGCUUUUGCUGACCUCAGCAAUUUCCCCAAAUGUGGGACAUUUGACUGCAUAAUUUGUUAGUGGUAGGUAGACUGAAUUUGUGCUCUUAA
ensembl:snRNA U1 U1 spliceosomal RNA